rnacentral:rRNA from 1 species
GAAUGCUGACAUAAGUAACGAUAAAGCGGGUGAAAAGCCCGCUCGCCGGAAGACCAAGGGUUCCUGUCCAACGUUAAUCGGGGCAGGGUGAGUCGACCCCUAAGGCGAGGCCGAAAGGCGUAGUCGAUGGGAAACAGGUUAAUAUUCCUGUACUUGGUGUUACUGCGAAGGGGGGACGGAGAAGGCUAUGUUGGCCGGGCGACGGUUGUCCCGGUUUAAGCGUGUAGGCUGAUUUUCCAGGCAAAUCCGGAAAAUCAAGGCUGAGGCGUGAUGACGAGGCACUACGGUGCUGAAGCAACAAAUGCCCUGCUUCCAGGAAAAGCCUCUAAGCAUCAGGUAACAUCAAAUCGUACCCCAAACCGACACAGGUGGUCAGGUAGAGAAUACCAAGGCGCUUGAGAGAACUCGGGUGAAGGAACUAGGCAAAAUGGUGCCGUAACUUCGGGAGAAGGCACGCUGAUAUGUAGGUGAAGCGACUUGCUCGUGGAGCUGAAAUCAGUCGAAGAUACCAGCUGGCUGCAACUGUUUAUUAAAAACACAGCACUGUGCAAACACGAAAGUGGACGUAUACGGUGUGACGCCUGCCCGGUGCCGGAAGGUUAAUUGAUGGGGUUAGCGGUAACGCGAAGCUCUUGAUCGAAGCCCCGGUAAACGGCGGCCGUAACUAUAACGGUCCUAAGGUAGCGAAAUUCCUUGUCGGGUAAGUUCCGACCUGCACGAAUGGCGUAAUGAUGGCCAGGCUGUCUCCACCCGAGACUCAGUGAAAUUGAACUCGCUGUGAAGAUGCAGUGUACCCGCGGCAAGACGGAAAGACCCCGUGAACCUUUACUAUAGCUUGACACUGAACAUUGAGCCUUGAUGUGUAGGAUAGGUGGGAGGCUUUGAAGUGUGGACGCCAGUCUGCAUGGAGCCGACCUUGAAAUACCACCCUUUAAUGUUUGAUGUUCUAACGUUGGCCCGUUAUCCGGGUUGCGGACAGUGUCUGGUGGGUAGUUUGACUGGGGCGGUCUCCUCCUAAAGAGUAACGGAGGAGCACGAAGGUUGGCUAAUCCUGGUCGGACAUCAGGAGGUUAGUGCAAUGGCAUAAGCCAGCUUGACUGCGAGCGUGACGGCGCGAGCAGGUGCGAAAGCAGGUCAUAGUGAUCCGGUGGUUCUGAAUGGAAGGGCCAUCGCUCAACGGAUAAAAGGUACUCCGGGGAUAACAGGCUGAUACCGCCCAAGAGUUCAUAUCGACGGCGGUGUUUGGCACCUCGAUGUCGGCUCAUCACAUCCUGGGGCUGAAGUAGGUCCCAAGGGUAUGGCUGUUCGCCAUUUAAAGUGGUACGCGAGCUGGGUUUAGAACGUCGUGAGACAGUUCGGUCCCUAUCUGCCGUGGGCGCUGGAGAACUGAGGGGGGCUGCUCCUAGUACGAGAGGACCGGAGUGGACGCAUCACUGGUGUUCGGGUUGUCAUGCCAAUGGCACUGCCCGGUAGCUAAAUGCGGAAGAGAUAAGUGCUGAAAGCAUCUAAGCACGAAACUUGCCCCG